rnacentral:rRNA from 1 species
GGACAAGCGAAUAAGUGCACAUGGUGGAUGCCUUGGCGAUUACAGGCGAUGAAGGACGUAGUAGCUUGCGAUAAGCUGCGGGGAGUGAGCAAACACACUUUGAUCCGCAGAUUUCCGAAUGGGGCAACCCACCCUUUUAGGGUAUUGCAUACUGAAUACAUAGGUAUGCAAGGCGAACGCGGCGAACUGAAACAUCUAAGUAGCUGCAGGAAAAGAAAUCAACCGAGAUUCCCAAAGUAGCGGCGAGCGAAAUGGGAAGAGCCUGUACGUGAUAGUCGGACCGAUAACAGAAUCCUCUGGAAAUAGGAGCCAUAGUGGGUGAUAGCCCCGUAUGUGAAAUCGGACCGGUG